rnacentral:sRNA from 1 species
GUCUUAUUGUCUCCAUUUUACCAGGGAGGAAAGUGAGGCUGAGAGAGGCUCAGACCCUGCCCAGGUUCUUCCUGACUCACAGAGAAUCUUUUCUCAUCCUCUUGGAUGUGCUUCCCUGGGCUGCGUGGCUGCGUGGGCAGAUGCACCUGUGUAUGCUGAGCACCCACCCAGGACUUCAACCCCGCUACUAGGAGAAACCACCUCUCAGCCCCUCAAACAGCACCUCCACCCUGGCCUCCAGCUGGUCCCUGGCCUCCCUCCCUUCCCCCACCCAGGCCACCUCUGCUGUCUUUGCAGAAGCCGUUGGCCUGCAGCCAGAUGCCCGUGGUGUGGCCACAUCUCUGGGGCUCAAUGAGCGGCUCUUUGUUGUCAACCCACAGGAAGUGCAUGAGCUGACGCCACACCCUGACCAGCUGGGGCCCACUGUGGGCUCUGCUGAGGGGCUGGACCUGGUGAGUGCCAAGGACCUGGCAGGCCAGCUGACGGACCACGACUGGAGCCUUUUCAACAGUAUCCACCAGCCUCAAGGAGCAGAAGAAUCUCAAUUCCUUCUUUGCCGUCAUGUUUGGCCUCAGCAACUCGGCCAUCAGCCGCCUAGCCCACACCUGGGAGAGGCUGCCUCACAAAGUCCGGAAGCUGUACUCCGCCCUGGAGAGGCUGCUGGAUCCCUCAUGGAACCACCGGGUGUACCGACUGGCCCUCGCCAAGCUCUCCCCUCCUGUCAUUC